UGAUACUUUAUUACAUUUCUAGUGGCGGACGGGUGAGUAACACGUUGGAACCUGCCCCAAAGUGAGGAAUAGCCACCGAAAGGUGGUCUAAUACUUCAUAAUAUCCAUCUCGUAUGGAUUAAAGCUUUAUGCGCUUUGGGAGGGGCCUGCGUAACAUUAGCUAGUUGGUGAGGUAAAAGCUCACCAAGGCUUCGAUGUUUAACUGGUUUGAGAGGAUGACCAGUCACACUGGGACUGAGAUACGGCCCAGACUCCUACGGGAGGCAGCAGUAAGGAAUCUUCCACAAUGGGGCAACCUGAUGGAGCAAUACCGCGUGCAGGAUGAAGCGUUUCGGCGUGUAAACUGCUUUUAUCACCGAAGAUUAUGACUGUAGGUGAAGAAUAAGGACCGGCUAACUACGUG
rnacentral:rRNA from 1 species